GCGGCCUGGCGGGGAGCCGGGGACCCGGCCCGGGACUGCGAGUGACGCGCACAGCCUCCGGCCUGGCGCGGAGCUCCAUUCGGUCCCUGCCAGCAGCCUGUUCUACGGGCGGUCCCGGGUCGGGCUCCAGGGAAGAACGUUCCAGGGCCACCCAAGGACUCUCAGGCCCCGGGUGCAGCCUGGGGGACCGACGACGCGCGCGCUCCGGGUCCCCGGCCUUGUGCCCCGGGAGACCCCCCCCCCCGCCCCCGUGCUGGUCCCCUCUGGACGCAGAGGCCGCCGCUCGGCACGCCCCUGGGGCUGGGCGGCCAGUUCCCAGAACAGCUGACCGACUGCAGAGCUGGGACCGCGCGGGAUUAGACGUUGGCGGCAUCUCAGGAUGGUCCAACUUUUUCAAAAGGGCAGCUGGGCAACCCACAGAGGUUAAGCCUCUUGUUCGGAGUCCUGAAGUUCAAAGUGGGAAGGGACCUUAGGCCAAUACAGGUGUCCUUCGCCAGGGCCUUCACACCUGCUCAUGGCCGGAACUCUCGAGGAAAAGGCUUUUGUAGCGAGUCGUUGCAGAAGCAGUGCGCGCCUCCAUCCCCGGCAGCCAGAGUGACCUGCCAAGGUCAGCUUCAAGCCUCACAGCUUUGAACUGUCUCUGAACAUCUGGGCUUCAUCUCAGUUUAUUUUCUGCAUCUAUUAGCAAGUUCCUGAAAUGGCACCAGGUGUUCAUGAACUUACUCUCCAGCGAGAGACCCGUGAAGUCACAGCAGAGGUGUCAGGCCGGAGCACUGGCGACAUCAGCUCUGUCUGAGAGCCAGACAACCUCUUGAGUUGGAUCUAAGACGUAGGAAUACGGGGCAUUCCAGACCGAGGGGGAAGGUCCAGAGUCAAAGGCCAGGAAGCCACAGAACACGAUUGGAAGGCUGCAGGACUCCAACAGAAUGGAAAGAAUUCUUUUGAAGAUGCGGUUGCUUCGCUGAGGAAAGUUCCUU